rnacentral:rRNA from 1 species
GAUGAACGCUGGCGGCGUGCUUAACACAUGCAAGUCGAACGAAGCAUUUUAGCGGAACAUUUUCGGAUGGGAAGUUAAAAUGACUGAGUGGCGGACGGGUGAGUAACGCGUGGAUAACCUACCAUAUACAGGGGGACAACAGUUGGAAACGACUGCUAAUACCGCAUAAGCGCACAGUGCCGCAUGGCACGGUGUGAAAAACUCCGGUGGUAUAUGAUGGAUCCGCGUCUGAUUAGCUAGUUGGUGAGGUAACGGCCCACCAAGGCAACGAUCAGUAGCCGACCUGAGAGGGUGACCGGCCACAUUGGGACUGAGACACGGCCCAAACUCCUACGGGAGGCAGCAGUGGGGAAUAUUGCACAAUGGGCGAAAGCCUGAUGCAGCGACGCCGCGUGAGCGAAGAAGUAUUUCGGUAUGUAAAGCUCUAUCAGCAGGGAAGAAAAUGACGGUACCUGACUAAGAAGCCCGGCUAACUACGUGCCAGCAGCCGAC